GAUGAACGCUGGCGGCGUGCCUAAUACAUGCAAGUCGAGCGAACAGAUGAGGAGCUUGCUCCUCUGACGUUAGCGGCGGACGGGUGAGUAACACGUGGAUAACCUACCUAUAAGACUGGGAUAACUUCGGGAAACCGGAGCUAAUACCGGAUAAUAUAUUGAACCGCAUGGUUCAAUAGUGAAAGACGGUUUUGCUGUCACUUAUAGAUGGAUCCGCGCCGCAUUAGCUAGUUGGUAAGGUAACGGCUUACCAAGGCAACGAUGCGUAGCCGACCUGAGAGGGUGAUCGGCCACACUGGAACUGAGACACGGUCCAGACUCCUACGGGAGGCAGCAGUAGGAGAUCUUCCGCAAUGGGCGAAAGCCUGACGGAGCAACGCCGCGUGAGUGAUGAAGGUCUUCGGAUCGUAAAACUCUGUUAUUAGGGAAGAACAAAUGUGUAAGUAACUAUGCACGUCUUGACGGUACCUAAUCAGAAAGCCACGGCUAACUACGUG
rnacentral:rRNA from 1 species